rnacentral:rRNA from 1 species
AACGAACGCUGGCGGCAGGCCUAACACAUGCAAGUCGAACGAGAAGCCACCUUCGGGUGGUGGACAGUGGCAGACGGGUGAGUAACGCGUGGGAACGUGCCUUUCGGUUCGGGAUAACCCAGGGAAACUUGGGCUAAUACCGGAUACGCCCUACGGGGGAAAGAUUCAUCGCAGAAAGAUCGGCCCGCGUCGGAUUAGCUAGUUGGUAGGGUAAUGGCCUACCAAGGCGACUAUCCGUAGCUGGUCUGAGAGGAUGACCAGCCCAAAUGGGACUGGGACACGGCCCAAACUCCUACGGGAGGCAGCAGUGGGGAAUAUUGGACAAUGGGCGAAAGCCUGAUCCAGCCAUGCCGCGUGGGUGAAGAAGGCCUUAGGGUUGUAAACCCCUUUCAGCGGGGAAGAUAAUGACGGUACCCGCAGAAGAAGCCCCGGCCAACUUCGUGCCAGCCGCCGCCGUAAGAC